rnacentral:rRNA from 1 species
CAGUCGCCGCGGGAAUACGUAGGUGGCAAGCGUUGUCCGGAUUUAUUGGGCGUAAAGCGAGCGCAGGCGGUCAAUUAAGUCUGAUGUGAAAGCCCUCGGCUCAACCGGGGAGGGUCAUUGGAAACUGGUUGACUUGAGUGCAGAAGAGGAGAGUGGAAUUCCAUGUGUAGCGGUGAAAUGCGUAGAUAUAUGGAGGAACACCAGUGGCGAAGGCGACUCUCUGGUCUGUAACUGACGCUGAGGCUCGAAAGCGUGGGUAGCAAACAGGAUUAGAUAACCCCGUAGUCCCUGUCUCUUAUAC